GCUUGCUUUCUUUGCCGGCGACCGGCGCACGGGUGAGUAACACGUAUCCAACCUGCCCUUUACUCGGGGAUAGCCUUUCGAAAGAAAGAUUAAUACCCGAUGGCAUAAUGAUUCCGCAUGGUUUCAUUAUUAAAGGAUUCCGGUAAAGGAUGGGGAUGCGUUCCAUUAGGUUGUUGGUGAGGUAACGGCCCACCAAGCCUUCGAUGGAUAGGGGUUCUGAGAGGAAGGUCCCCCACAUUGGAACUGAGACACGGUCCAAACUCCUACGGGAGGCGGCAUG
rnacentral:rRNA from 1 species